rnacentral:rRNA from 1 species
GACGAACGCUGGCGGCGUGCUUAACACAUGCAAGUCGAACGGAAAGGCCCUGCUUGUAUGGUACUCGAGUGGGGAACGGGUGAGUGACACACGGGUGAACUGCCCUCCUCUCCGGGUGAAGCCUGUGAGACAGGGUGGAAUACAGGGUAGAAGACAUUUUGAGUCUGAUGGUUGGAAAGUUUGUUCCGUGUAGGAUGAGCUGGCUGCCUAAUAGCUUGUUGGUUGGGUAAUGGGUUACCAAGGCGGCGGCGGGUAGCCGGCCAGCGAGGGUGGACGGCCACCUUGGGACUGAGGGGCGGCCCAGACACCUACGGGAGGGAACAGUGGGGAAUAUUGCACGAUGGGCGCAAGGCUGGUGCAGCGACGCCGCGUGGCGGAAGACGGCCUUAGGGUUGUAAAACCCUUUCGCUAGGGACGGAGCUUUUUGUGACGGUACCUAGAUAAGAAGCACCGGCUAACUACGUG